GGACAUGGGGACAGUGGGGACAUGGAGAGGGGACAUUGGGGAUAUGGGGGACAUGGGGACAGGAGGGAGGGGGACAUGGGGACAUUGGGGACAUUGGGGAGGGGACAUAGGGGAUGUGGGAAUGGGGGGAGGGGGACGUAGGUGGACACAGAGGGGACAUCGCUGGGGACACAGAGGGGACAUCGGUGGGGACAUGGGAUGAAGGAAGGGGACACAGAGGGGACAUUGGUGGGGACACAGAGGGGACAUCAGUGGGGGCACAGAGGGGACACAGAGGGGACAUGGGGUGUGGGCAGGGGACACAGAGGGGACAUCAGAGGGGGCACAGAGGGGACACAGAGGGGACACAGAGGGGGGGACACAGAGGGGACAUCAGUGGGGACACAGAGGGGACAUCGGAGGGGACAUGGGAUGUAGGCAGGGGACACAGAGGGGACAUCGGUGGGGACACAGAGGGGACACAGAGGGGACACAGAGGGGACAUCGGUGGGGACACAGAGGGGACAUCGGUGGGGACAUGGGACGCGGGCAGGGGACACAGAGGGGACAUGGGGACAGGUACCGGUGUCCCCAGGUGUCACCCGGCCUCUGGGACAGGUGGAGGUGAUGGUGACGGUGCCGCGGCUCCUCGGCCAUCUCCUCUGUGUCACCGGCACGGUGUCACCUCCCCGAGGUGGCACUGUCCCCCGGUGUCACCUCCCCACUGCGUCACCUCCUCACCGUGUCACCCACCCCACAGUGUCACCAUCCCAGUGUCACCUCCCCAUCAAGUCACCUCCCCACUGUGCCACCUCCUCCCAUUGUCACCCACCCCACGGUGUCACCGUCCCACAGUGUCACCUCCUCCCAUUGUCACCCACCCCAUUAUGUCACUGCCCACAGUGUCCACCCACCCCACAGUGUCACCUCCUCCUAUUGUACCCCCACCCCACAGUGUCACCUCCUCCUAUUGUCACCCACCCCACAGUGUCACCACCCCACAGUGUCACCUCCUCCUAUUGUCACCCACCCCACAGUGUCACCACCCCACAGUGUCACCUCCUCCUAUUGUCACCCCACCCCGUCAUGUCACCGGUCCCACAGGUGUCACCUCCCACAGAGUCACCUCCUCCAUUGUCACCCCCCCCAUUAUGUCACUGUCCCACGGGUGUCACCUCCUCAGUGUCACCCACCCCAAAGUGUCACCUCCCCACAGUGUCACCUCCUCCCAUUGUCACCCACCCCAUUAUGUCACUGUCCCACAGUGUCACCAUCCCAGUGUCACCUCCCCAUCAUGUCACCACCCCACCGGUGUCACCCGUCCCCACAGUGUCACCUCCUCCCAUUGUCACCCACCCCACGGUGUCACCGUCCCACAGUGUCACCUCCUCCCAUUGUCACCCACCCCGGUAUGUCACUGUCCCACAGUGUCACCUCCUCAGUGUCACCCACCCCACAGUGUCACCUCCUCCUAUUGUCACCCACCCCACAGUGUCACCACCCCACAGUGUCACCUCCUCCUAUUGUCACCCACCCCGUCAUGUCACCGUCCCACAGUGUCACCUCCCACAGUGUCACCUCCUCCCAUUGUCACCCACCCCAUUAUGUCACUGCCCCACAGUGUCACCCACCCCACAGUGUCACCUCCUCCUAUUGUACCCCACCCCACAGUGUCACCUCCUCCUAUUGUCACCCACCCCACAGUGUCACCACCCCACAGUGUCACCUCCUCCUAUUGUCACCCACCCCGUCAUGUCACCGUCCCACAGUGUCACCUCCCACAGAGUCACCUCCUCCCAUUGUCACCCCCCAUUAUGUCACUGUCCCACGGUGUCACCUCCUCAGUGUCACCCACCCCAAAGUGUCACCUCCCCACAGUGUCACCUCCUCCCAUUGUCACCCACCCAUUAUGUCACUGGUCCCACAGUGUCACCAUCCCAGUGUCACCUCCCAUCAUGUCACCACCCCACGGUGUCACCGUCCCAAGUGUCACCUCCUCCCAUUGUCACCACCCCACGGUGUCACCGUCCCACAGUGUCACCUCCUCCCAUUGUCACCCACCCCGGUAUGUCACUGUCCCACAGUGUCACCUCCUCAGUGUCACCCCCCACAGUGUCACUCCUCCUAUUGUCACCCACCCACAGUGUCACCACCCCACAGUGUCACCUCCUCCUAUUGUCACCCCCCCGUCAUGUCACCGUCCCACAGUGUCACCUCCCACGUGUCACCUCCUCCCAUUGUCACCCACCCCAUUAUGUCACUGCCCCACAGUGUCACCCACCCCAAGUGUCACCUCCUCCUAUUGUACCCCACCCCACAGUGUCACCUCCUCCUAUUGUCACCCACC
rnacentral:lncRNA from 7 species